UACGUAGGGGGCAAGCGUUGUCCGGAUUUAUUGGGCGUAAAGAGCGUGUAGGCGGCCAUACAGGUCAGCUGUGAAAACUCGAGGCUCAACCUCGAGACGUCGGUUGAAACCGUAUGGCUAGAGUCCGGAAGAGGAGAGUGGAAUUCCCGGUGUAGCAGUGAAAUGCGUAGAGAUCAUGAGGAAGACCAGUGGCGAAGGCGGGUCUCUGGACAGUUCCUGACACUGAGGCACGAAGGCCAGGGGAGCAAACGGG
rnacentral:rRNA from 1 species